rnacentral:rRNA from 1 species
AUUGAACGCUGGCGGCAUGCUUUACACAUGCAAGUCGAACGGGUGUAGCAAUACACUAGUGGCGAACGGGUGAGUAAUGCAUCGGAACGUACCGUGUAGUGGGGGAUAACCCGGCGAAAGUCGGAUUAAUACCGCAUGAGAUCUACGGAUGAAAGCAGGGGAUCGUAAGACCUUGCGCUAUAUGAGCGGCCGAUGUCGGAUUAGCUAGUUGGUGGGGUAAAGGCCCACCAAGGCGACGAUCCGUAGCGGGUCUGAGAGGAUGAUCCGCCACACUGGGACUGAGACACGGCCCAGACUCCUACGGGAGGCAGCAGUGGGGAAUUUUGGACAAUGGGCGCAAGCCUGAUCCAGCCAUGCCGCGUGAGUGAAGAAGGCCUUCGGGUUGUAAAGCUCUUUUGUCCGGGAGCAAACCUUCGUGGCUAAUAUCCACGGAGCUGAGAGUACCGGAAGAAUAAGCACCGGCUAACUACGUGCCAGCCGCCGCCGUAAAAC